rnacentral:rRNA from 1 species
AGUGAACGCUGGCGGUAGGCCUAACACAUGCAAGUCGAACGGCAGCACAGUAAGAGCUUGCUCUUACGGGUGGCGAGUGGCGGACGGGUGAGGAAUACAUCGGAAUCUACUUUUUCGUGGGGGAUAACGUAGGGAAACUUACGCUAAUACCGCAUACGACCUACGGGUGAAAGCAGGGGAUCUUCGGACCUUGCGCGAUUGAAUGAGCCGAUGUCGGAUUAGCUAGUUGGCGGGGUAAAGGCCCACCAAGGCGACGAUCCGUAGCUGGUCUGAGAGGAUGAUCAGCCACACUGGAACUGGGACACGGACCAGACGCCUACGGGAGGCAGCAGUGGGGAAUAGUGGACAAUGGGGGCAAGCCUGAUCCAGUCAUACCGCGUGGGUGAAGAAGGCCUUCGGGUUGUAAAGCCCUUUUGUUGGGAAAGAAAAGCAGCAGGUUAAUACCCCGCUGUUCUGACGGUACCCAAAGAAUAAGCACCGGCUAACUUCGUG